rnacentral:lncRNA from 1 species
GCAAAGCUUAUAUAGUUAGGUUAAAACUCGUCAGGGGUAAUCUUGUAAAUUGCUGAAGACUUGGGCUUCAAGUCGGCUGUGACCAAACGGGCUUUCUGCGCGCUUCGCUGUCGAUCGAUGUUCAGGUGUGAACAUCGAUCGAUAUUCCUCCUCCAAUAUCGACUGAUGGUCGAGCUUGAUGGUCGAGCUUGAUGGUCAUCUCG